AUGUUCAAACGGUGAAUAUAUAAUUUCCGAGGGUGGUUGCUUCCGAUUGACUAAUAAUUAUUAUAGUUUUACGCGUGCGGACGGUGUAUGCGAAUAUUAUUAUGACGGCAAUCUAGCGUCCGUCCAUUCCGAGGAAGCACACAACUAUCUCAAAUCAUAUAUGAUGGACCGCUAUGAAUCUGUAGCCUGGAUAGGUCUUACAUAUUCACAAGACACUGGUAGUUGGGGCUGGCUGGACGAAACUCCUCUGGACUAUAAUGCCUUUGGAAGCGAUUGGUUAUUAAACCUAGAUGGAACAGAGGAGUGUGCAGUUAUGCUUGACGAAGUUGACUAUAGAUGGGAGGAAAGCCACUGUUCUCGGUACAGACGAGGGUUCUGUAAACAACCAGCUUUCCUGUCACCUAAAAUGCAUAACUGUCCGCAAAACAUCAACGUCAACAGUGAUGCAAACAGCAACGAAGCGCACGUGACGUGGACAGAUCCGACCGCGACCAGUGACGCAGGUGGAUCUGUCAGUAGUCUGGUUAGGUCUCAUCAGUCGGGAGACGCAUUUCCAAUAGGAGUGACAACGGUAACCAUCAGCGCUUCCAAUGAUGUAGGGACGUCUUCCUGCAGAUUUUCAAUUCGUGUCAGAGACAACGAGCAUCCGGUAUACACUAACUGCCCAAGCAAUGACGUAGUGAUUGACAUCCCAACUGGUCAGGCUACUUACACGUAUAAUUCACCUAAUCCAACAGCGACUGAUAAUGAUGCCAUCAGGAGUAACACCUGCACAGGUGAAGCAUGCCAGGGAGAUGUGCUUGCUCCUGGAACCUACCAAAUGCAUUACGUAGCCGAUGAUACUACACGAUGUAAUGGAAAAGGGCAUUGCCGAUAUAAUUUAAUUAUAAGAGAUGUUGAACCCCCUACAAUAACUUGUGGUGCAGACAUUGUGCAAAACACAGACUCGGAUCAAAAUGACGCCAUUGUCACUUGGUCUGAUCCUGAGACAACCGACAACGUUGGUGUAGCAAACGUAGUGUGUACACCUGCCUCAGGUGACCAAGUGACAAUCGGUGCAACAGACGUAGAAUGCACGGUCUCUGAUGCUGCAGGGAACACGGACACGUGCUCAUUCACUGUAACUGUUGAAGACAAUCAACAACCGUCUAUAAUAUAUUGUCCAGUUAUCGUGACGAACUCACUAGAACCCAACAACCCUUGGGCAGUAGCUGAGUGGAAUCCCGAAUUCGAAGAUAACUCAGACCAUUUUUCAAUAACCAGCAGUCACACAAGCGGCCAACAGUUUCCUCUUGGGCAGACAACCGUAGUGGUGACAGCUACAGACGCAGCCGAGAACAGUGCCACGUGCACAUUUAGUGUUGAGAUUAACGACAAUACACCACCGGUGUUUACGAACUGUCCUACUAGCAUCACUGUAAACGCACCACUUGGGGAGGCUUUUGCAGUCGUUUCAUGGCCUUUGUUGGUGGCAACGGAUAACAGUCAGGAUCCCCCCAUAUUUAAUGAGACCAGUACAGAGGGCUCGUUUGGAAUUGGUAACACUCGCCUGGCAUUCAGCGCAACAGAUGGCUCUGAUAAUACUGGACUAUGCGUGUUUAGUAUCACGGUUAUAGACGAUGAACGUCCUUUAUUUACAUUUUGUCCCCCUGAUGUUUAUAUUUCGACUGAGGUCGGCUUACCGUCUGCGUCCGCAAACUGGAUUGAACCAGUUGCUGAGGACAAUUCCGGCCUAGCGCCAACGAUUUACCAAACAAGAGCUUCUGGAGAGCGGUUUUGGAUAGGGACAGAGACCGUAACUUAUGUAGCUACUGAUACGUCUUAUAAUAACAACACUUGUGCUUUCAUUGUAGUUGUUAACGAUGACGAACCACCUCAGAUUUCAAAUUGCUCUGAUAAUAUUGAGGAAUCAGCUCCGGAUACUAGUAAUUUUGCAAUCGUUACAUGGUUACCGCCAGAUAUUACCGACAAUUCUGGAAGUACGCCAACCGUCACCGCCAACUUCCAGCCUGGUGAUAGUUUCAUUCUUGGAGAAACGCGCGUUAUUUACAAUGCAACAGACGAUGCGAUGAACGCAAACACAUGCACAUUUACAAUCACGAUCAGUGAUAUUACUCCUCCAGUGUUUGUCAAUUGUCCGUCUGACAUGAUGACGAAUUCAGAUCCAAAUGAGGCGACGACUAUUGUAACUUGGGAUCUGUUGAACUCCACGGACAAUAGUGGUUUGAUCCCAACAAUCAGUGACCCGGAUUUAACUUCGAUAGAACUUCGAAUAGGAAUUCACCAGAUAGUAUUCACUGCUGAAGAUACGUUUGGGAAUAUCGAUUUCUGUCAAUUUAACGUUACAGUUAUAGAUAAUGAACCACCGGUGUUUCUCAACUGUCCGAACAAUCGAACUGUUUCAACGGAUCACAGAAUGUCCACGGCAACAGUCAACUGGGACGAGCUUGUAAUCACAGAUAAUUCUGGAGACCCGAUUACCGUGCACCACUCACAUCUGACAGGCCACGGUUUCCCAAUAGGUUACCACACUGUAAACAUUACUGCCGUGGACUCAUCAUGGAACUCUGUAACUUGUAUCUUUAAUGUUUUAAUCGAAGAUUCUGAGGCUCCUGUGUUUCACAACUGUCCCACGGACAUUUUCCUCGAGACGCUGCACAGGUCUUCCUUCAACAACGGAUACUGGGAUGAUGUCGAAAUAACCGACAAUUCUGGCUUGACAUCAAAUGUUACCACGAAUUAUGAGUCGGGAGACGUAUUCUAUCUUGGCCAGUCACAUGUUGUUUACAGCGCUACUGACGCUGCUUCUAAUAUGGAAAACUGCUCAUUCACUGUUGUAGUGCUUGAUACUGAAAACCCAUAUUUUACGUUCUGCCCUCCGGAUAUUUCGAUCAAUACUGAAAACGGGGUGAAUACUGCAGUGGUAAAUUGGAAUUCUCCCAAUGCAUCUGAUAAUUCUCAAAUCGAGCCUGUCAUCACCUCAGAUUAUAAUUCUGGGGAUAUAUUUCAGAUGCAUAUAACUACAGUUACAUACAAAGCUAGAGAUGAUGCGGGGAAUAUUGGAAUAUGUCAGUUCGAAGUAGAUGUAAUCGACAAUGAACCGCCGUACUUCAUCAAUAUGACUGGUGACAUAGAGAUUUUCAUUGAUGCUACAAAAACUAACACAUCUGUAGAAUGGAAGGAACCUCUGGCUGCUGAUAAUUCUUUGAUCGAGCCAACAAUUUCAUCAACACGCACAUCUGGGGACAUUUUUAGUAUUGGAGUUACUAGAGUUGUUUAUACUGCAGUAGACCAACUUGGAAACGAGAGAAGUUUCACAUUUUCUGUGAAUAUUCGCGUGGCAUUCGCUAAUUUAGAAUCAUUGAUCAAUGGAACAUCUGAAGGAGACAUUCUGCAUAUAUCUGCAAUUGCUUCGAAUUUGGCAAAUACAAGACCACUCUCAACAGAAGAAAUUGAACAGUUAGCGUCCGUCCUUACUGUAAUGGCAUCCGAAGAUGUUGUAUCAGAUCGAGAAGUAGAGGAAAUUACUGAGGAUGUUGUUGCUGUGACCAACGCCGUUCUAAAUAACAAUAAGGAAAUCAAAAAACAAGUUGAUAUCAUCAUUGCUACAGAGAAGUUGAUUCAAAAAGUUGUUAUUACAGAGAUGAACACAAGUUUCGUCCGGCCGUCGGGCAAAGUUGUUUCCAAUAUUGGACCGAUUGAUGCUUUCAAAUGGUCAUGCCAUUUUAGAGAAGAGGAGGGCGUCCUAAGUUCAACAAGAGACAGUUCUACUGAAAAAGAAUCCAGCGAUAAGUGUUUUGUCAAGUUAGAUCCAAAGUCAGCCAAAGAUAUAACAGAAUCGGCGACAAUUAUUGCUACUUACUACGAUAGGAAAGUGAUUGCUGAAACAACAAGCGAAACAUUUGACAUUGACAGCAGUGACGGUGAUAUCGACGUUGCUUAUACACUUGCAAGUGGUCUUUUGUCAUACAGUAUAUCAAGUAAUAGUACAACAUACUCAGUAGGCGUGGAAUUCUCAAUGGAGUUAGAUCAGACACUUAUACAUUCGGACGUAACGUAUUUCAAAGAAAAUGCACGUUGUGUAUUUUGGGAAGAGAUUAAAAGGGUUUGGUCAACCACCGGCUGUAAACGAACUGGAAGUAGUGGCAACCAUGUUAAAUGUAAAUGUGAACACACGACAACAUUUGGUAUAUUUACCCCGGUUGAUAAACCCGAACAGAACGAUGAGUUCGACUUUGCCAGACUCGGUGAAAGAUUAGGCAUAUACAGUGUGUGCCUUAUCUCGAUGAUAGCAUUAUUAUACAUUAUGAAGUUUAUCAAUUCAACGUGGGGCUUGUUCAGAGGACCUGAAACUGUGUUCAUUUACUCAAAUUUGCUACUGGCAACACUGUGCGUCAUGGUAGCGUUCGUUGUAAAUUCUGAAACUGUUGACUACCCACUCGUUUGCAGUAUAUUCGGCGUACUUCUUCAUUUCUUCUACAUGGCUACUCUUCUCUGGCUAAUUUACGAGAGCAUAUACCUCUUUAUGCGGGCCCACAGGUACAGCAUCACCGGUAGUAUACCGAAAAGGUCGGCCUAUUUUACAUUUGCAUGGGGCGGGGCUGCAGUCAUUGCAGCCAUAUUUUUCGGAAUUCAACAAGGUUACGACGAAAAUGAAGGAUGUUGGUUAAAGUUUGAGACUGGUGGUCUUGUAGCCUUUGUAUUUCCUUCUAUGACUCUCAUUUUUGUGAGAAUAAUUUUACUCACUGUACUUACGGCAUGUAAAAUUGAAGGUGGAAAGCGUGCAGAUGAAAUCAAGUCACACGUGAGGCAUUCUGUACAGUGUUCUGUUUUCUUAGUACCUCAACUCAUCCUUACCUGGGCGUUCAUUGUUCUUGCCGAGAAAGAAUAUAUAUAUUGGCUGCUGUUCUAUAUUUUAUUUUCUUUAAACGGGUUAUCGAUUGCUGCCUAUUGCUACUUCACUAAAGAGAUUACAGACGUGAGAAAUGAGAUGAAAUUUGUCGAGUGAGUGUUAUUCAAAUUGAAUAUGAAACAACCUCAAGUCAAGCGGAACUCAGUCGUUAUGUUGAAGACAUCUCCGUUUGUGAACCCGAGAAAUACGAAGAAAGUCCAGUAGACCUAGCAGUAGAGACGA
rnacentral:misc_RNA from 1 species